UCUUGUCGAGGUAACAAGUACAAAAUUCCAAAAAAAAAACUACAAAUAUUUUCGGUCUAUUUUCGGUGAACAUCUUUUUUAAAAAAUAUAUUUUGAUAUUUGUUUCGUUACUUGUUUUGUUAUGAGUUCUUAUUAGGCUUAAGCAUAAAGUGUUAAAGAGAAAUGUUUACGGAGGGUGUCCAACCUGAUCUCGGCCGCCUGAUGCUGCAUUCGUACACACAAAUAUAUAUAAUAUAUAUAUGUUGAAUACGUUUAAAUAUAUUGAAUUCACACUUGACGAACACUUGACGUACACUUGAAUUACACGGUGUUAAAUGCAAAUAAACUAUUGGGUGCCAUGAAAGCAAACAACUACACUGAACUAACGACAAACUAUGAACACUCAAGCAGGCCGGUCAUAUGAAUUUCCCAGAUGCGCAAAACAUACAUACAUACAUAAACAGACUUGGAGAACAAAGGCAUACGAAAAAUCUGAAGUUAAAAAUUUUCUGUACCCAAAUUCGCCGUAACCCCGAUAUCGUGUGAGAAUGGAAGAGUUCUCAACGAAGACUUGAUCUGGAUUCUGCAGUGCCAUGCAGCUGGAGACGACUAUGAAUUCUCAAUCUUUGAUCGAUGGAUUCGGAAUUGGCAGUGACGAUCGUUUGAAGGCUGGAGAUGACCCAUUAGGAGGAGAUGGCAUUCUCUGCGGCCAACUAAAGAUUGGGAAUAUACGGACGUGAACCGCCCAGCUGCACCACCGCAAGAACCAACCACCCAGUCGCUCUAUUCGUCCUUGUCCGGCAAUAUUAUAUAGUAAACUUUAUGGC